GAUAAGGUGGCUGAGGAUAGGCAAUAGAUUGUAAAUCUAUCUACGAAAUAAAUUUCUUUUAUUA
rnacentral:tRNA from 1 species